rnacentral:rRNA from 1 species
UCGGGAAUUUUGGGCAAUGGGGGAAACCCUGACCCAGCAACGCCGCGUGAAGGAUGAAGUAUUUCGGUAUGUAAACUUCGAAAGAAUAGGAAGAAUAAAUGACGGUACUAUUUAUAAGGUCCGGCUAACUUCGUGCCAGCAGCCGCGGUAAUACGAAGGGGGCUAGCGUUGUUCGGAAUUACUGGGCGUAAAGCGCACGUAGGCGGAUAUUUAAGUCAGGGGUGAAAUCCCAGAGCUCAACUCUGGAACUGCCUUUGAUACUGGGUAUCUAGAGUAUGGAAGAGGUGAGUGGAAUUCCGGGUGUAGCGGUGAAAUGCGUAGAUAUCAAGAGGAACACCUGAGGCGAAAGGCGGGUUGCUGGGCUGAUACUGACGCUGAGGCGCGAAAGCUAGGGUAGCAAACGGGAUUAGAUACCCUUGUAGUCCCUGAGCGGGCUGGCAAGGCGCAU